rnacentral:rRNA from 1 species
UACAGAGGUCUCAAGCGUUGUUCGGAUUCAUUGGGCGUAAAGGGUGCGUAGGCGGCGCGGUAAGUCGGGUGUGAAAUCUCCGGGCUUAACUCGGAGCCUGCAGGCGAAACUGUGGUGCUGGAGUGUGGGAGAGGUGCGUGGAAUUCCCGGUGUAGCGGUGAAAUGCGUAGAUAUCGGGAAGAACACCCGUGGCGAAGGCGGCUCUCUGGGACGGUACUGACGCUGAGACGCGAAAGCGUGGGGAGCGAACAGG